rnacentral:snRNA from 1 species
AUACUUACCUGGCAGGGGAGAUACCAUGAUCACGAAGGUGGUUUUCCCAGGGCGAGGCUUACCCAUUGCACUCCGGAUGUGUUGACCCCUGCGAUUUCCCCAAAUGUGGGAAACUCGACUGCAUAAUUUGUGGUAGUGGGGGACUGCGUUCGCGCUUUCCCCUG